rnacentral:rRNA from 1 species
UUCAGAAUCUUGCACAAUGGGCGAAAGCCUGAUGCAGCGAUACCGCGUGGGUGAAGAAGGCCUUCGGGUCGUAAAGCCCUGUCAGAGGGAAAGAUAAUGACGGUACCCUCUAAGGAAGCCACGGCUAAUUACGUGCCAGCAGCCGCGGUAAUACGUAAGUGGCGAGCGUUAUCCGGAAUUACUGGGCGUAAAGCGUGCGUAGGCGGUUUAGUGUGUGGGAAUUGAAAGCCCGGGGCUCAACUCCGGAUCCGGUUCCCAAACUGCUAGACUUGAGCGUAUCAGAGGACAGUGGAAUUCCCGGUGUAGCGGUAAUAUGCGUAGAUAUCGGGAGGAACACCAGUGGCGAAGGCGACUGUCUGGGGUAUUGCUGACGCUGAGGCACGAAAGCCAGGGGAGCGAACGG